rnacentral:rRNA from 1 species
GACGAACGCUGGCGGCGUGCUUAACACAUGCAAGUCGAACGAAGAGCGAUGGAAGCUUGCUUCUAUCAAUCUUAGUGGCGCACGGGUGAGUAACGCGUAAUCAACCUGCCCUUCAGAGGGGGACAACAGUUGGAAACGACUGCUAAUACCGCAUACGAUCUAAUCUCGGCAUCGAGGAUAGAUGAAAGGUGGCCUCUACAUGUAAGCUAUCACUGAAGGAGGGGAUUGCGUCUGAUUAGCUAGUUGGAGGGGUAACGGCCCACCAAGGCGAUGAUCAGUAGCCGGUCUGAGAGGAUGGACGGCCACAUUGGGACUGAGACACGGCCCAGACUCCUACGGGAGGCAGCAGUGGGGAAUCUUCCGCAAUAGACGAAAGUCUGACGGAGCAACGCCGCGUGAGUGAUGACGGCCUUCGGGUUGUAAAGCUCGGUUAAUCGGGACGAAAGGCCUUCUUGCGAAUAGUGAGAAGGAUUGACGGUACCGGAAUAGAAAGCCACGGCUAACUACGUG